UACGGAGGGGGCUAGCGUUGUUCGGAAUUACUGGGCGUAAAGCGCGCGUAGGCGGACCUGCAAGUCGGGGGUGAAAGCCCGAGGCUCAACCUCGGAACUGCCUUCGAUACUGCGGGUCUCGAGUCCGGGAGAGGUGAGUGGAAUUCCUAGUGUAGAGGUGAAAUUCGUAGAUAUUAGGAAGAACACCAGUGGCGAAGGCGGCUCAC
rnacentral:rRNA from 1 species